UACGGAGGAGGCAAGCGUUAUCCGGAAUUAUUGGGCGUAAAGCGUCCGCAGGUGGCUAGUCAAGUCGGUGGUCAAAGCACAGGGCUCAACUCUGUAAAGGCCGGCGAAACUGACAAGCUAGAGUGCGGUAGGGGCAGAGGGAAUUCCCGGUGUAGCGGUGAAAUGCGUAGAUAUCGGGAAGAACACCAGUAGCGAAAGCGCUCUGCUGGACCGCAACUGACACUCAGGGACGAAAGCUAGGGGAGCGAAUGGG
rnacentral:rRNA from 1 species